GGAAGAGCCAUAGCUCAGUGGUACAGCAUUUGCUUUGCAUGCAGAAGGGCUCAGGUUUAUCCCUGAUAUUUCCA